rnacentral:rRNA from 1 species
UAGGGAAUCUUGCGCAAUGGGCGAAAGCCUGACGCAGCGACGCCGCGUGAGGGAUGAAGGCCUUUGGGUCGUAAACCUCUGUCGGAGGGGAAGAAAUUUUGACGGUACCCUCCAAGGAAGCCCCGGCUAACUACGUG